AGAUGCCAUAAUACCAGCAGUAACGCACCAGAUCCCAUCAGAACUCCGAAGCUAAGCGUGUUUGGGCGAGAGUAGUACUAGGAUGGGUGACCCCUUGGGAAGUCCUCAUGUUGCAUCCC
rfam:Nicotiana sylvestris Nsyl_contig33635, whole genome shotgun sequence.